AAUAGAUACCCGGGUAGUCCACGCCGUAAACGAUGAGUGCUAAGUGUUAGAGGGUUUCCGCCCUUUAGUGCUGCAGCUAACGCAUUAAGCACUCCGCCUGGGGAGUACGGCCGCAAGGCUGAAACUCAAAGGAAUUGACGGGGGCCCGCACAAGCGGUGGAGCAUGUGGUUUAAUUCGAAGCAACGCGAAGAACCUUACCAGGUCUUGACAUCCUCUGCCAACCCUAGAGAUAGGGCGUUCCCCUUCGGGGGACAGAGUGACAGGUGGUGCAUGGUUGUCGUCAGCUCGUGUCGUGAGAUGUUGGGUUAAGUCCCGCAACGAGCGCAACCCUUGAUCUUAGUUGCCAGCAUUCAGUUGGGCACUCUAAGGUGACUGCCGGUGACAAACCGGAGGAAGGUGGGGAUGACGUCAAAUCAUCAUGCCCCUUAUGACCUGGGCUACACACGUGCUACAAUGGAUGGUACAAGAGCUGCGAACCCGNGAGGUAAGCCAAUCUCAUAAAGCCAUUCUCAGUUCGGA
rnacentral:rRNA from 1 species